rnacentral:rRNA from 1 species
GUGCCAGCCGCCGCGGUAAGACGAACCGUGCGAACGUUGUUCGGAAUCACUGGGCUUAAAGGGCGCGUAGGCGGGCGAUCAAGUCAGUGGUGAAAUCCUCCAGCUUAACUGGAGAACUGCCUUUGAUACUGGUCGCCUCGAGGGAGGUAGGGGCAUGCGGAACUGAUGGUGGAGCGGUGAAAUGUGUUGAUAUCAUCAGGAACUCCGGUGGCGAAAGCGGCGUGCUGGACCUUUUCUGACGCUGAGGCGCGAAAGCUAGGGUAGCGAACGGGAUUAGAAACCCCUGUAGUCC